CAUUUGCCCAUGUCUGUUAGUUCCUGCUUGUUCCAGUCCUGUUUCUGCCCUGUCUCACUCCAGCCACUGCAUUGGGAACUUUUGACCUCAGAAUCUGUGGCAUCAUUAUGGAAAGAAUUGUUUAAAUCCCUCAUCUACCAAAGGCAGAAGUUCCAAGGAGAAAGAAAACAUACAAAUUGCAGAGCUCCGAUGUGCUGGAUUCCGCACCUUUGUGACUGCAACGCUUGGAGUUCCUGUUGCAGAAAUGCCUCAUCCACUACCUGGUCCUGAUUUGGUGGCCUAUAUAGACCCCCUACCAUCAUAUCAUCCCUGGGAUUUUUCCAUUUUAUCUUCACCAAGACACUUUCAUCUGCUCUGCUUCUUCCCUCCUUCUGGACCACAGAACAAAUGUAAAUGUUCUUGAUUUUUAUAUGAUUUUCACAAAAAGGAAACUGCAUUAAAGACAGUUA